rnacentral:rRNA from 1 species
AGAACGAACGCUGGCGGCAGGCCUCAAACAUGCAAGUCUAGGGGGUGUAGCAAUACAUCACCGGCGGACGGGUGCGUAACGCGUGGGAAUAUACCUUUUGGUUCGGAACAACUGAGGGAAACUUCAGCUAAUACCGAAUGUGCCCUAACGGGGAAAGAUUUAUCGCCAAAGGAUUAGCCCGCGUAGGAUUAGCUAGUUGGUGAGGUAAUGGCUCACCAAGGCUCCGAUCCUUAGCUGUUCUGAGAGGAAGAUCAGCCACACUGGGACUGAGACACGGCCCAGACUCCUACGGGAGGCAGCAGUUGGGAAUCUUGGACAAUGGGGGAAACCCUGAUCCAGCCAUGCCGCGUGAGUGAUGAAGGCCUUCGGGUUGUAAAACUCUUUCGACGGGGACGAGUAAUGACGGUACCCGUAGAAGAAGCUCCGGCUAACUUCGUGCCAGCAGCCGC